rnacentral:lncRNA from 1 species
UAAUAUGAUAUUAGAGUAAGAGAUCUUGAGUUCGAAUCCUAUAGCCCAAAUAUGAGGACCAGUGUUGAAUAUUAAUAUUAAAAUUAUUAUUUUCUGAUAGCUUAAGCUAUUAAAGAUAAACGAUUGUUUCAUAUUAUUUAACACUGCUUAACAUAAACUUUAUCAUGCAAACAUCUAUUUAAAAUCCAAAUUAACGUCAAGUGGUUCUCUAGCGCCAGUGACAAAGGGCGUGGAUUCACAUUUCUAGCUAACGAUUUCUCUCAAAAAAAAAAAAAAAAAAGGGCAAUUGCUUAUUUAUCCUUGAAAAGUUUUCAACCUAUUUCAAAUAUAUACUUCCUAAAGUUAAAUUGUAUUAAUAAACUGUUAGCAAUAACUGUUAUCUGUAUGAAAUUACUAUUUUGCCCUUUCAAAUAUAUCCUUUCAUCAUCACCGACUUUUCUUAUUUGUCCUUAAGUUAGGGGUACAAAAAGUAUUUUGAAUUUUUGUCUUUUCAAAUAUACCCUUCGUCCAUCACCAAUAUUUCUUGUUUGCCCUUAAGUUAAGAGUGAAAGAGAUAUUUUGAUUUUUUUUUUUUAACUCUAGUAGAUAUUUAACUCACGUUUAACCCAAGUUAACUUAGGCUUAGUUUGGUUUUGAGGUCUAUCUAACGCUAUUAAAUAAAAUGGAGUUAAGGAAAAUAUAUAUAUAUAUAUGGAUAUACUUCUACGUUCUCCGAUAGAUCGCAGAAAAUAUAUCGUAACCAACUAAUCACGAUAUGCAGAACACAAUAUUACGUACGGAAACAAAUAUGAUAAUUUUUCAUUGUCUUUUUUCACCGCACGUAACGCCGAGUGGUAACUGCAGGAAUAUUUUAGAAUAACGGAGGACAUAUGAGAGGUAUAUUAGAAAGAAAAAAAAAAAAAGAAAGAAGAUAUAUCUGAAGUUUUGAGAAGUAUAUAGACAAUUAUCCCUAUGUAUGUCUUACUUCUAUCGCUAUACCCUA